UAGUGAUAAGAUAACUAGAAUUGAUGAUGAAACCGCCUCAAUGGGAGUGUUGUCCUCUCCUUCAUUGUCGAAAAUGGACAGUUCUAUAGAUGGUAAUGCUGUUUCAGGAUAUUGUCUCACAAGGGACUCCAAAGAGAGUGCAAGCUAUGGUUUUCAUGUCUAAAGAUUAUAGAGGACAUGUCUGACACUCUGCCUCCGACUGGCAACUUGGGUAGGUCCCUUUCAGUGAAAUCUCACCAUGGACAUCGUUUAUAUUUCCCCAGCUUGUUUAUAGAAAAUGGGAAGGUUGAAAAUGGGAGCCUGUGGCAAAAAUAGCAGAAACCUCUGUUAUUGAUGAUGUCAGCACUGUUCUACAGUAGGAAUCCAAAGAGAACCAUUUUGUGGCUAACACUUCAUUCAGUUCGCAUAGUUAUCAUGAAGGGCACAACUCUAUUGGUUCUAUUAUCUCUAAACCAAUUGCUAAUAUCUCAGAAAAUACAGCCCUUGCUUUUAGAGGAAGGGACUUCGCUUGCAAUGUUGGAAGCCUGAGAUCGUUGGAAAUUUUGUUGGACCUCAAUGGGGAUUAUGAUAGUCACAUUAGAAGCCUGCAAUAUGGUCAAUGCUGCUAUGGCCAUGCCUUACCUCCACCUCUACUGCCCAGUCCUCCUUUGUCACCUUCACAGUUGCAGAUAAAUACUCCAUGGGACAAAGUCCAUCAGCACCUGCAGUUUAAGCGGAAUUUGUAUUCUCAGAUGGACUCAAAUGGUGUUAUCUUGGGAAAUCAUUUCCCUGUAAAGC
rnacentral:lncRNA from 1 species